rnacentral:snoRNA from 2 species
CAUUGCCCAUGGUAUCUGAUGUCCAGAUUUAUAUUUGUGGCUGGACAUUUCGUUAAACAGGGCAUACAUAAAAGCUUUACAGGUCUUGCGACACAGUUAGCUUCGUUACUCAUCAGCUUUCUGUUACUAUAACCCUGCAAACAUCC